GGACGAACGCUGGCGGCGUGCUUAACACAUGCAAGUCGAACGGAAAGGCCCUUCGGGGUACUCGAGUGGCGAACGGGUGAGUAACACGUGGGUGAUCUGCCCUGCACUUCGGGAUAAGCCUGGGAAACUGGGUCUAAUACCGGAUAUGACCUUGGGAUGCAUGUCCUUUGGUGGAAAGCUUUUGCGGUGUGGGAUGGGCCCGCGGCCUAUCAGCUUGUUGGUGGGGUUAAGGCCUACCAAGGCGACGACGGGUAGCCGGCCUGAGAGGGUGACCGGCCACACUGGGACUGAGAUACGGCCCAGACUCCUACGGGAGGCAGCAGUGGGGAAUAUUGCACAAUGGGCGCAAGCCUGAUGCAGCCGACGCCGCGUGAGGGACGACGGCCUUCGGGUUGUAAACCUCUUUCAGCACAGACGAAGCGCAAGUGACGGUAUGUGCAGAAGAAGGACCGGCCAACUACGUGCCAGCAGCAGC
rnacentral:rRNA from 1 species